rnacentral:rRNA from 1 species
CAGCUUGCUGGGUGGAUUAGUGGCGAACGGGUGAGUAACACGUGAAUAACCUGCCCCUGACUCUGGGAUAAGCGUUGGAAACGACGUCUAAUACUGGAUAUGAUCACUGGCCGCAUGGUCUGGUGGUGGAAAGAUUUUUUGGUUGGGGAUGGACUCGCGGCCUAUCAGCUUGUUGGUGAGGUAAUGGCUCACCAAGGCGACGACGGGUAGCCGGCCUGAGAGGGUGACCGGCCACACUGGGACUGAGACACGGCCCAGACUCCUACGGGAGGCAGCAGUGGGGAAUAUUGCACAAUGGGCGAAAGCCUGAUGCAGCAACGCCGCGUGAGGGAUGACGGCCUUCGGGUUGUAAACCUCUUUUAGUAGGGAAGAAGCGAAAGUGACGGUACCUGCAGAAAAAGCACCGGCUAACUACGUGCCAGCAGCCGCGGUAAUACGUAGGGUGCAAGCGUUGUCCGGAAUUAUUGGGCGUAAAGAGCUCGUAGGCGGUUUGUCGCGUCUGCUGUGAAAUCCCGAGGCUCAACCUCGGGCUUGCAGUGGGUACGGGCAGACUAGAGUGCGGUAGGGGAGAUUGGAAUUCCUGGUGUAGCGGUGGAAUGCGCAGAUAUCAGGAGGAACACCGAUGGCUAAGGCAGAUCUCUGGGCCGUAACUGACGCUGAGGAGCGAAAGCAUGGGGAGCGAACAGGAUUAGAUACCCUGGUAGUCCAUGCCGUAAACGUUGGGCGCUAGAUGUAGGGACCUUUCCACGGUUUCUGUGUCGUAGCUAACGCAUUAAGCGCCCCGCCUGGGGAGUACGGCCGCAAGGCUAAAACUCAAAGGAAUUGACGGGGGCCCGCACAAGCGGCGGAGCAUGCGGAUUAAUUCGAUGCAACGCGAAGAACCUUACCAAGGCUUGACAUACACCGGAAACGGCCAGAGAUGGUCGCCCCCUUGUGGUCGGUGUACAGGUGGUGCAUGGUUGUCGUCAGCUCGUGUCGUGAGAUGUUGGGUUAAGUCCCGCAACGAGCGCAACCCUCGUUCUAUGUUGCCAGCGGGUUAUGCCGGGGACUCAUAGGAGACUGCCGGGGUCAACUCGGAGGAAGGUGGGGAUGACGUCAAAUCAUCAUGCCCCUUAUGUCUUGGGCUUCACGCAUGCUACAAUGGCCGGUACAAAGGGCUGCGAUACCGUAAGGUGGAGCGAAUCCCAAAAGC